UGUUUGUUUUGUUCUUUACACAGGCUAUGUGGAUGUAAUCUCACUGCUCAGUCCUGUGAGAGUUUGUCGUCAGCGCUACAAUCAUCAAAUUCCCAUCUAAAUGUGCUGGACCUGAGUAACAAUGACCUGCAGGAUUCUGGAGUGAAGCUGCUUUCUGAUGGAUUGAAGAGUCCAAACUCUAAGCUGGAGAUAUUGAGAUUUUCCAUCUGUAACCUUACUGCUCAGUCUUGUGGGAGUUUGUCAUCAGCUCUACAAUCCUCACACCCUGUCCUGAGAGAGCUGGACCUGAGUAACAAUGAUCUGCAUGAUUCAGGAGUGAAGCUGCUUUCUGAAGGACUGAAGAAGAGUCCAAACUCUAAGCUGGAGAUAUUGAGAUUUUCCAUCUGUAACCUCACUGCUCAGUCUUGUGGGAGUUUGUCAUCAGCUCUACAAUCCUCACACUCUGUCCUUCGAGAGCUGGACCUGAGUAACAAUGACCUGCAGGAUUCAGGAGUGAAGCUUCUAUCUGAUGGACUGAAGAGUCCAAACUUUCAGUUGGAGAUACUGAGGUAGAUUCAAGUUUCAAGAUUUUUAUUUGUCACAUACAUGGUUAUAUGGAGAGCAUAUGACCAGCAGUGAAAUGUUAGUCAGGUCCAUUCCAAGGACAGUGCAAUUGUUA